CCUACGGGAGGCUGCAGUGAGGAAUAUUGGUCAAUGGACGAGAGUCUGAACCAGCCAAGUAGCGUGAAGGAUGACUGCCCUAUGGGUUGUAAACUUCUUUUAUAUGGGAAUAAAAUGUUCCACGUGUGGGAUUUUGUAUGUACCAUAUGAAUAAGGAUCGGCUAACUCCGUGCCAGCAGCCGCGGUAAUACGGAGGAUCCGAGCGUUAUCCGGAUUUAUUGGGUUUAAAGGGAGCGUAGGUGGAUUGUUAAGUCAGUUGUGAAAGUUUGCGGCUCAACCGUAAAAUUGCAGUUGAAACUGGCAGUCUUGAGUACAGUAGAGGUGGGCGGAAUUCGUGGUGUAGCGGUGAAAGUCUUAGAUAUCACGAAGAACUCCGAUUGCGAAGGCAGCUCACUGGACUGCAACUGACACUGAGGCUCGAAAGUGUGGGUAUCAAACAGGAUUAGAUACCCUUGUAGUC
rnacentral:rRNA from 1 species